rnacentral:tRNA from 1 species
UAAAAAUUACCUUGGUCUUGUAAACCAAAAAUGAAGAGUUAAUCUUCUCAGGACA